UGGCUUCGGCUAUCACUUCUGGAUGAUCCCGCGGCGUAUUAGUUAGUUGGUGAGGUAAAGGCCCACCAAGACAAUGAUACGUAGCCGACCUGAGAGGGUAAUCGGCCACAUUGGGACUGAGACACGGCCCAAACUCCUACGGGAGGCAGCAGUAGGGAAUCUUCCACAAUGGACGAAAGUCUGAUGGAGCAAUGCCGCGUGAGUGAAGAAGGGUUUCGGCUCGUAAAACUCUGUUGUUAAAGAAGAACACCUUUGAGAGUAACUGUUCAAGGGUUGACGGUAUUUAACCAGAAAGCCACGGCUAACUACGUGCCAGCAGCCGCGGUAAUACGUAGGUGGCAAGCGUUGUCCGGAUUUAUUGGGCGUAAAGCGAGCACAGGCGGUUUUUUAAGUCUGAUGUGAAAGCCUUCGGCUUAACCGGAGAAGUGCAUCGGAAACUGGGAGACUUGAGUGCAGAAGAGGACAGUGGAACUCCAUGUGUAGCGGUGGAAUGCGUAGAUAUAUGGAAGAACACCAGUGGCGAAGGCGGCUGUCUAGUCUGUAACUGACGCUGAGGCUCGAAAGCAUGGGUAGCGAACAGGAUUAGAUACCCUGGUAGUCCAUGCCGUAAACGAUGAGUGUUAAGUGUUGGAGGGUUUCCGCCCUUCAGUGCUGCAGCUAACGCAUUAAGCAAUCCGCCUGGGGAGUACGACCGCAAGGUUGAAACUCAAAGGAAUUGACGGGGGCCCGCACAAGCGGUGGAGCAUGUGGUUUAAUUUGAAGCUACGGGAAGAACCUUACCAGGUCUUGACAUCUUUUGCCAAUCUUAGAGAUAAGACGUUCCCUUCGGGGACAGAAUGACAGGUGGUGCAUGGUUGUAGUCAGUUUGUGUCGUGAGAUGUUGGGUUAAGUCCCGCAACGAGCGCAACCCUUAUUAUCAGUUGCCAGCAUUCAGUUGGGCACUCUGGUGAGACUGCCGGGGGCAAACCGGAGGAAGAUGGGGAUGACGUCAAAUCAUCAUGCCCCUUAUGACCUGGGCUACACACGUGCUACAAUGGACGGUACAACGAGUCGCGAAGUCGUGAGGCUAAGCUAAUCUCUUAAA
rnacentral:rRNA from 2 species